UAAGGUUUGGAGGAAAGGAAGAAUUUUUAAAAAGGAAAAGGAAGAGAAAGAAAAAUUUCUGAACUAGGGUCGACCCAAGCCAGAAUGGGGUCGACCCAAAGUUGAGUCGACCCAAGAAAAAUCUAGGGUCGACCCAACGACGGGACCCCACUUUUAAAAGGGGGACCCGUGAGCAUUCUAGGGCACUGUUUCAUCUUGU
rnacentral:lncRNA from 1 species